UACGUAGGGGGGCUAGCGUUGUCCGGAAUCAUUGGGCGCAAAGCGCGCGUAGGCGGCCCUGUUAGUCCGCUAUAAAAAGUCAAAGGCUCAACCUUUGAAAUGCCGGUGGAUACUGCAGGGCUAGAGUCCGGAAGAGGCGAGUGGAAUUCCUGGUGUAGCGGUGGAAUGCGCAGAUAUCAGGAGGAACACCAACGGCGAAGGCAGCUCGCUGGGACGGUACUGACGCUGGAGGCGCGAAAGCGUGGGAGCGAACAGG
rnacentral:rRNA from 1 species